GACGAACGCUGGCGGCGUGCUUAACACAUGCAAGUCGAGCGGUAAGGCCCUUUCGGGGGUACACGAGCGGCGAACGGGUGAGUAACACGUGGGUGACCUGCCCUCAGCUCUGGGAUAAGCCUGGGAAACUGGGUCUAAUACUGGAUAUGACUCCACGGUGCAUGUCGUGGGGUGGAAAGCCUUGUGCGGCUGAGGAUGGGCCCGCGGCCUAUCAGCUUGUUGGUGGGGUGAUGGCCUACCAAGGCGACGACGGGUAGCCGGCCUGAGAGGGCGACCGGCCACACUGGGACUGAGACACGGCCCAGACUCCUACGGGAGGCAGCAGUGGGGAAUCUUGCGCAAUGGGCGAAAGCCUGACGCAGCGACGCCGCGUGAGGGAUGACGGCCUGGUGUACUACUUCUNCNCGCGAGACGGAGUAGACGGUAGGAGCGAGAAGAAGA
rnacentral:rRNA from 1 species